rnacentral:rRNA from 1 species
UACAGAGGGGGCAAGCGUUGUUCGGAAUUACUGGGCGUAAAGGGCGCGUAGGCGGCCUUCUAAGUCGAACGUGAAAUCCCCGGGCUCAACCCGGGAACUGCGUCCGAGACUGGAAGGCUUGAAUCCGGGAGAGGGAUGUGGAAUUCCAGGUGUAGCGGUGAAAUGCGUAGAUAUCUGGAGGAACAUCGGUGGCGAAGGCGGCAUCCUGGACCGGUAUUGACGCUGUGGCGCGAAAGCCAGGGGAGCAAACGGG